AUUGAACGCUGGCGGCGUGCUUAACACAUGCAAGUCGAACGAGAACGGAUUAUAGCUUGCUAUAAUUGUCAGCUAAGUGGCGCACGGGUGAGUAAUGUAUAGGUAAUAUGCCUCUUACUAAGGGAUAACAAUUGGAAACGAUUGCUAAUACCUUAUAUUCCUUUUUAUCAAAAGAUAAAAAGGGAAAGAUUUAUUGGUAAGAGAUUAGCCUGUAUUGUAUCAGUUAGUUGGUGGGGUAAUGGCCUACCAAGACGAUGACGCAUAACUGGUUUGAGAGGAUGAUCAGUCACACUGGAACUGAGACACGGUCCAGACUCCUACGGGAGGCAGCAGUGGGGAAUAUUGCACAAUGGACGAAAGUCUGAUGCAGCAACGCCGCGUGGAGGAUGACACAUUUCGGUGCGUGAACUCCUUUUAUAUAAGAAGAUAAUGACGGUAUUAUAUGAAUAAGCACCGGCUAACUCCGUGCCAGCAGCCGCCGUAA
rnacentral:rRNA from 1 species